GCCUCGCGGCCUAUCAGCUAGUUGGUGGGGUAACGGCCCACCAAGGCGACGACGGGUAGCCGGCCUGAGAGGGCGACCGGCCACACUGGGACUGAGACACGGCCCAGACUCCUACGGGAGGCAGCAGUGGGGAAUAUUGCACAAUGGGCGAAAGCCUGAUGCAGCGACGCCGCGUGAGGGAUGACGGCCUUCGGGUUGUAAACCUCUUUCAGCAGGGAAGAAGCGAAAGUGACGGUACCUGCAGAAGAAGCGCCGGCUAACUACGUGCCAGCAGCCGCGGUAAUACGUAGGGCGCAAGCGUUGUCCGGAAUUAUUGGGCGUAAAGAGCUCGUAGGCGGUUUGUCGCGUCUGCUGUGAAAACGCGAGGCUCAACCUCGCGCCUGCAGUGGGUACGGGCAGACUAGAGUGCGGUAGGGGAGACUGGAAUUCCUGGUGUAGCGGUGGAAUGCGCAGAUAUCAGGAGGAACACCGGUGGCGAAGGCGGGUCU
rnacentral:rRNA from 1 species